rnacentral:rRNA from 1 species
UACGGAGGGGGCUAGCGUUGUUCGGAAUUACUGGGCGUAAAGAGCUCGUAGGUGGUUUGUCGCGUUGUUCGUGAAAACUCACAACUCAAUUGUGGGCGUGCGGGCGAUACGGGCAGACUGGAGUACUGCAGGGGAGACUGGAAUUCCUGGUGUAGCGGUGGAAUGCGCAGAUAUCAGGAGGAACACCGGUGGCGAAGGCGGGUCUCUGGGCAGUAACUGACGCUGAGGAGCGAAAGCGUGGGGAGCGAACAGG